rnacentral:rRNA from 1 species
CUUAGGCGUGUGACUGCGUACCUUUUGUAUAAUGGGUCAGCGACUUAUAUUCUGUAGCAAGGUUAACCGAAUAGGGGAGCCGAAGGGAAACCGAGUCUUAACUGGGCGUUAAGUUGCAGGGUAUAGACCCGAAACCCGGUGAUCUAGCCAUGGGCAGGUUGAAGGUUGGGUAACACUAACUGGAGGACCGAACCGACUAAUGUUGAAAAAUUAGCGGAUGACUUGUGGCUGGGGGUGAAAGGCCAAUCAAACCGGGAGAUAGCUGGUUCUCCCCGAAAGCUAUUUAGGUAGCGCCUCGUGAAUUCAUCUCCGGGGGUAGAGCACUGUUUCGGCAAGGGGGUCAUCCCGACUUACCAACCCGAUGCAAACUGCGAAUACCGGAGAAUGUUAUCACGGGAGACACACGGCGGGUGCUAACGUCCGUCGUGAAGAGGGAAACAACCCAGACCGCCAGCUAAGGUCCCAAAGUCAUGGUUAAGUGGGAAACGAUGUGGGAAGGCCCAGACAGCCAGGAUGUUGGCUUAGAAGCAGCCAUCAUUUAAAGAAAGCGUAAUAGCUCACUGGUCGAGUCGGCCUGCGCGGAAGAUGUAACGGGGCUAAACCAUGCACCGAAGCUGCGGCAGCGACGCUGAUGCGUUGUUGGGUAGGGGAGCGUUCUGUAAGCCUGCGAAGGUGUGCUGUGAGGCAUGCUGGAGGUAUCAGAAGUGCGAAUGCUGACAUAAGUAACGAUAAAGCGGGUGAAAAGCCCGCUCGCCGGAAGACCAAGGGUUCCUGUCCAACGUUAAUCGGGGCAGGGUGAGUCGACCCCUAAGGCGAGGCCGAAAGGCGUAGUCGAUGGGAAACAGGUUAAUAUUCCUGUACUUGGUGUUACUGCGAAGGGGGGACGGAGAAGGCUAUGUUGGCCGGGCGACGGUUGUCCCGGUUUAAGCGUGUAGGCUGGUUUUCCAGGCAAAUCCGGAAAACUAAGGCUGAGGCGUGAUGACGAGGCACUGCGGUGCUGAAGCAACAAAUGCCCUGCUUCCAGGAAAAGCCUCUAAGCAUCAGGUAACAUCAAAUCGUACCCCAAACCGACACAGGUGGUCAGGUAGAGAAUACCAAGGCGCUUGAGAGAACUCGGGUGAAGGAACUAGGCAAAAUGGUGCCGUAACUUCGGGAGAAGGCACGCUGAUAUGUAGGUGAAGUCCCUCGCGGAUGGAGCUGAAAUCAGUCGAAGAUACCAGCUGGCUGCAACUGUUUAUUAAAAACACAGCACUGUGCAAACACGAAAGUGGACGUAUACGGUGUGACGCCUGCCCGGUGCCGGAAGGUUAAUUGAUGGGGUUAGCGCAAGCGAAGCUCUUGAUCGAAGCCCCGGUAAACGGCGGCCGUAACUAUAACGGUCCUAAGGUAGCGAAAUUCCUUGUCGGGUAAGUUCCGACCUGCACGAAUGGCGUAAUGAUGGCCAGGCUGUCUCCACCCGAGACUCAGUGAAAUUGAACUCGCUGUGAAGAUGCAGUGUACCCGCGGCAAGACGGAAAGACCCCGUGAACCUUUACUAUAGCUUGACACUGAACAUUGAGCCUUGAUGUGUAGGAUAGGUGGGAGGCUUUGAAGUGUGGACGCCAGUCUGCAUGGAGCCGACCUUGAAAUACCACCCUUUAAUGUUUGAUGUUCUAACGUUGACCCGUAAUCCGGGUUGCGGACAGUGUCUGGUGGGUAGUUUGACUGGGGCGGUCUCCUCCUAAAGAGUAACGGAGGAGCACGAAGGUUGGCUAAUCCUGGUCGGACAUCAGGAGGUUAGUGCAAUGGCAUAAGCCAGCUUGACUGCGAGCGUGACGGCGCGAGCAGGUGCGAAAGCAGGUCAUAGUGAUCCGGUGGUUCUGAAUGGAAGGGCCAUCGCUCAACGGAUAAAAGGUACUCCGGGGAUAACAGGCUGAUACCGCCCAAGAGUUCAUAUCGACGGCGGUGUUUGGCACCUCGAUGUCGGCUCAUCACAUCCUGGGGCUGAAGUAGGUCCCAAGGGUAUGGCUGUUCGCCAUUUAAAGUGGUACGCGAGCUGGGUUUAGAACGUCGUGAGACAGUUCGGUCCCUAUCUGCCGUGGGCGCUGGAGAACUGAGGGGGGCUGCUCCUAGUACGAGAGGACCGGAGUGGACGCAUCACUGGUGUUCGGGUUGUCAUGCCAAUGGCACUGCCCGGUAGCUAAAUGCGGAAGAGAUAAGUGCUGAAAGCAUCUAAGCACGAAACUUGCC